rnacentral:rRNA from 1 species
AGUGAACGCUGGCGGUAGGCCUAACACAUGCAAGUCGAACGGCAGCACAGUAAGAGCUUGCUCUUACGGGUGGCGAGUGGCGGACGGGUGAGGAAUACAUCGGAAUCUACUUUUUCGGGGGGGAUAACGUAGGGAAACUUACGCUAAUACCGCAUACGACCUACGGGUGAAAGCAGGGGAUCUUCUGACCUUGCGCGAUUGAAUGCGCCGAUGUCGGAUUAGUUAGUUGGCGGGGUAAAGGCCCACCAAGGCGACGAUCCGUAGCUGGUCUGAGAGGAUGAUCAGCCACACUGGAACUGGGCCACGGUCCAGACUCCUACGGGAGGCACCAGUGGGGAAUAUUGGACAAUGGGCGCAAGCAUGAUCCAGCCAUACCGCGUGGGUGAAGAAGGCCUUCGGGUUGUAAAGCCCUUUUGUUGGGAAAGAAAAGCAGCAGGUUGAUACCCCGCUGUUCUGACGGUACCCAAAGAAUAAGCACCGGCUAACUUCGUG